rnacentral:ncRNA from 1 species
ACAAGGAAGGGCAUAGUAAGUGGUGAAAUGCUUUAGCAAGUUGAAAAUAAGCAUAUCCGAAGAUUCUCGAAUAGGUCAACCUUUUGAAUUGCUACUGAAUCCAUGGGUAGACAAGAAGCAACUUGGAAAACUGAAACAUCUUAGUACUCGAAGGGAAAAAAAAAGCAAAAGUGAUUCUCGUAGUAGCGACAAGUGAAAUGGGAGCAGCCUAAACCAUGAAACGCGAUUGUUGAAGAGCAAUAAAAGCAUUUUGCUGCUAAGCAAAGUGUGAAGUGUUGAACCCUAGUUAACAGAUUCAA